GAUCAUGGCUCAGGAUGAACGCUAGCUACAGGCUUAACACAUGCAAGUCGAGGGGCAGCGGGAUUGAAGCUUGCUUCAAUUGCCGGCGACCGGCGCACGGGUGAGUAACGCGUAUCCAACCUUCCGUACACUCAGGGAUAGCCUUUCGAAAGAAAGAUUAAUACCUGAUGGUAUCUUAAGCACACAUGUAAUUAAGAUUAAAGAUUAUCGGUGUACGAUGGGGAGUGCGUUCCAUUAGGUUAGG
rnacentral:rRNA from 1 species